rnacentral:rRNA from 1 species
AUUGAACGCUGGCGGCAGGCCUAACACAUGCAAGUCGAGCGAGCGGCGGACGGGUGAGUAAUGUCUGGGAACCUGCCUGAUGGAGGGGGAUAACUACUGGAAAAGGUAGCUAAUACCGCAUACCAUCAGAUGUGCCCAGAUGGGAUUCGCUGGGAGGUGGGGUAACGGCCCACCUAGGCGACGAUCCCUAGCUGGUCUGAGAGGAUGACCAACCACCCUGGAACUGAGACACGGUCCAUACUCCUACGGGAGGCAUCAGUGGGGAAUAUGGCACAAUGUGCGCAGGCCUGAUGCAGCCGUGCCGAGUGUGUGAAGAAGGCCUUCGGGUUGUAAAGCACUUUCAGUGGGGAGGCGUUACCAGCAGGAGAAGCACCGGCUAACUCCGUGCCAGCCGCCGCGGUAAUUC